rnacentral:rRNA from 1 species
GACCAGACUCCUACGGGAGGCAGCAGUGGGGAAUAUUGGGCAAUGGGCGCAAGCCUGACCCAGCAACGCCGCGUGAAGGAAGAAGGCUUUCGGGUUGUAAACUUCUUUUCUCAGGGACGAAGCAAGUGACGGUACCUCUUGAAUAAGCCACGGCUAACUACGUGCCAGCAGCCGCGGUAAUACGUAGGUGGCAAGCGUUGUCCGGAUUUACUGGGUGUAAAGGGCGUGUAGCCGGGCUGACAAGUCAGAUGUGAAAUUCCGGGGCUCAACCCCGGACCUGCACUUGAAACUGUUGGUCUUGAGUAUCGGAGAGGCAGGCGGAAUUCCUGGUGUAGCGGUGAAAUGCGUAGAUAUUAGGAGGAACACCAGUGGCGAAGGCGGCCUGCUGGACGACAACUGACGGUGAGGCGCGAAAGCGUGGGGAGCAAACAGGAUUAGAUACCCUUGUAU